GAUGAAGAACGCAGCGAAAUGCGAUAAGUAGUGUGAAUUGCAGAAUUCAGUGAAUCAUCGAAUCUUUGAACGCACAUUGCGGCCAUAGGUAUUCCUUUGGCCAUGCCUGUUCGAGCGUCAUUUACACCCUCAAGCCUAGCUUGGUGUUGGGCGUCUGUCCCGCCGUUUUCGCGCGCGGACUCGCCUCAAAGUCAUUGGCGGCGGUCGUGCCGGCCCCCUCGCGCAGCACAUUUGUGCUUCUCGGAGGCCCGGCGGAUCCGCGCUCCAGCAAGACCUUUCACGACUUGACCUCGGAUCAGGUAGGGAUACCCGCUGAACUUAAGCAUAUCAAUAAGCGGAGGA
rnacentral:misc_RNA from 1 species